rnacentral:rRNA from 1 species
CUUUGUAGGAAAUGACAAAGCGAUGACGUUAAUUUAUGAAUAAGCCCCGGCUAAUUACGUGCCAGCAGCCGCGGUAAUACGUAAGGGGCGAGCGUUGUUCGGGAUCAUUGGGCGUAAAGGGUGAGUAGGCGGAUAUGCAAGUCUAUGUGUAAAAUACCACAGCUCAACUGUGGAACUAUGCUGGAAACUGCAUGACUAGAGUCUGAUAGGGGAAGUUAGAAUUCUUGGUGUAAGGGUGGAAUCUGUUGAUAUCAGGAAGAAUACCAGAGGCGAAGGCGGACUUCUAGGUCAAGACUGACGCUGAGUCACGAAAGCGUAGGGAGCAAACAGGAUUAGAUACCCUGGUAGUCUACGCUGUAAACGAUGCACACUUGGUGUUAAUCGAAAGGUUAGUACCGAAGCUAACGUGUUAAGUGUGCCGCCUGGGGAGUAUGUUCGCAAGAAUGAAACUCAAAGGAAUUGACGGGGGCCCGCACAAGCGGUGGAGCAUGUGGUUUAAUUCGAUGAUACGCGAGGAACCUUACCAGGGCUUGACAUAUACAGGAUAUAGUUAGAGAU